rnacentral:rRNA from 1 species
AGCGAACGCUGGCGGCAGGCCUAACACAUGCAAGUCGAACGGACCCUUCGGGGUUAGUGGCGGACGGGUGAGUAACACGUGGGAACGUGCCCUUUGGUUCGGAACAACUCAGGGAAACUUGAGCUAAUACCGAAUGUGCCCUUCGGGGGAAAGAUUUAUCGCCAUUGGAGCGGCCCGCGUCUGAUUAGCUAGUUGGUGGGGUAAUGGCCUACCAAGGCGAUGAUCAGUAGCUGGUCUGAGAGGAUGAUCAGCCACAUUGGGACUGAGACACGGCACAAACUCCUACGGGAGGCAGCAGUGAGGAAUCUUGCGCAAUGGGCGAAAGCCUGACGCAGCCAUGCCGCGUGAAUGAUGAAGGUCUUAGGAUUGUAAAAUUCUUUCACCGGGGACGAUAAUGACGGUACCCGGAGAAGAAGCCCCGGCUAACUUCGUGCCAGCCGCCGCAGUAACAC